rnacentral:rRNA from 1 species
GCCAAGCCCCAGGUCAGACGGGGGCACCCG